rnacentral:miRNA from 14 species
AGGACUGUACAGUGACAUAUAUAUAUAUAUAUAUAUAUAUAUAUAUGUGUGUGUGUGUGUGUGUGUACAUAUAUACACAUACAUACAUAUAUAUUCCAUCUGUAAGGAGCAGAUAAAC